CCAUGCAUAACAACCUUAGCCUAUCUUCCAUAACUAUGUUCUCUUGUACGAACCCGGUAGAAGCAUCAACAACUGUCAUUAACAGCUGUCCUCGCCGUUCACCUAUGCCGCCGAACAGGUGAUCUGGAUCUUGACCUAUGCUGCCGAACAGGUGAUCUGGAUCUUGACCUAUGCUUCCGAACAGGUGAUCUUGACUUAUGCUUCCGAACAGGUGAUUUUGAUCUUGAUCUAUGCUUCCGAACAGGUGAUCUGGAUCUUGACUUAUGCUUCCGAACAGGUGAUCUGGAUCUUGACCUAUGCUUCCGAACAGGUGAUCUGGAUCUUGACCUAUGCUUCCGAACUGGUGAUUUGGAUCUUGACCUUCUUACCCUGCAUAAAAAGGAAACCCUGUAAAUAAACAAGGCACAGCUGUAGUAUAAAUGGGAACCCAUACAAAUUCACCUGAGUAGCUUAUAUUGUUAUAUGAUGAUGGUAGUUUGUCUCAAAAAUAUAAACCUUAAACAUGAUUAACUUAAUGGCAACAAACCUGG
rnacentral:lncRNA from 1 species